CUGAUGCGGAAGGGAGGCGCUGGGAUCUUCCUUGCUGGGAGGCGAAUUGUCCGGGAUUGCACGCGGAAGAGGAAGGAUGCUGGGUCUUAGUUCCGUAAGGUAAGGCUGAAUCAAAAGGGUAACCUCUUCGCGCAAGGGUUGGGAUAAAGGCUGGUGAAUGUGCUUCUUUCAUCGAAUUAUUCAACCAACUUUCACCGGUCGCGAGAUAAAAGACCGUCGAACUGCCUCCUUACGAAGUGGUCCUUCGUCUCUCUAUAACUAGCCGUAUAAUUCAGUUCAGGUGGACUCAACCUUCCCGCUAUCAGAAAGGAGCAAAGAAGAGGACUGGUAACCAAAGACUGCUUAGGCGAAAUGUUUGGUUAAAUGAAUGUAGGAGGAAAUGGUUUAGAGAUUUCCAGUCGGUAAAUCCUGAGACUAGUUUACUUCAGACUUUCCCGGCUAGUCUAGGGCCCUAGACCUGGCGGAGAACUACUUCAGCAAUAAUAAAUCCUAAUCCAUCAGUGCCGUAGAUAAAUGGGUCAUUAGAAGGAUUUACUCGGGAAAGCUUUUUCAACUAGGUGAUACAUGUUCAGAUAUUAUUUUUAUGUUAAAAGUCAUGCACGGGUCUUUGAAUGAAAAUUCCUCUGCGUCUCCACCUUGAGCAAGAUCCCAAAGGGAGAAUGAAGGAGUUCGAAUCUGUUUUUGGUUCAGAGAUCAUCAUGGUGGUUGUUCUCUUUUUUUUUCAAUGAAAGUCUAGUCUGGAUCUGAAAGGUACCUACGGAUAUCCCC
rnacentral:lncRNA from 1 species